GAAGAGCUCUGCAGUUUGCAGGCGGCUCCAAUCGUAGGCCGGAGGUUAAGGCAAGCAGGAGGGCAAGUGGCUGAGGGGCCUUGGGGCUGGACAGGUGGGCAAUGGGGAGGGGGUGGCAAGCACUGGUGUGCCCCCCCAGUGGUGCCUAGGGCACGUGCCCUGGCUGCCCCCUCCCAGUUAUGCCAAUGGGAACUGUAACUGGUCCUCCCCAGAUGUAUCACAUGGGCCUCACAUCAAAGAUCAGUGAAAGGCUUAUUGUGACCUCAGAAAACCCUUCACAGCCUCUUGCUAUGGUGAACAUGGUUCACACCUCUUUGGAUCACCCAGGAAGAAAAUGAUCAAAAGCCCAAGAAAAUGAGACAGAAGCCUCUAAGCAGAGAAAGCAAAUUCCCUAAAAAGCAACAGGAAUAAACGACACAUCAGCAAAUCUGUCAAGAGUGGUAAUAUCCUUAGAACAGCAUCUGCAAUUAAAGGCAUCUUCUCAGUGUGUGUCAUAUUCCCAUAUCUGCCAUUGGUGAUGCCAGGAAUAACAACAAAGACAAACACCUCAGCAGUGUCACAGCUACUUAACAUCAAGGAAAAAAAUAAAGAGUCAUUUCACCUUC